CCUACGGGAGGCAGCAGUCGAGAAUCAUUCACAAUGGGGGAAACCCUGAUGGUGCGACGCCGCGUGGGGGAAUGAAGGUCUUCGGAUUGUAAACCCCUGUCAUGUGGGAGCAAAUUAAAAAGAUAGUACCACAAGAGGAAGAGACGGCUAACUCUGUGCCAGCAGCCGCGGUAAUACAGAGGUCUCAAGCGUUGUUCGGAAUCACUGGGCGUAACGCGUGCGUAGGCUGUUUCGUAAGUCGUGUGUGAAAGGCGCGGGCUCAACCCGCGGACGGCACAUGAUACUGCGAGACUAGAGUAAUGGAGGGGGAACCGGAAUUCUCGGUGUAGCAGUGAAAUGCGUAGAUAUCGAGAGGAACACUCGUGGCGAAGGCGGGUUCCUGGACAUUAACUGACGCUGAGGCACGAAGGCCAGGGGAGCGAAAGGGAUUAGAUACCCCGGUAGUC
rnacentral:rRNA from 1 species